rnacentral:rRNA from 1 species
GAUGAACGCUAGCUACAGGCUUAACACAUGCAAGUCGAGGGGAAACGACAUCGAAAGCUUGCUUUUGAUGGGCGUCGACCGGCGCACGGGUGAGUAACGCGUAUCCAACCUGCCCAUCACUUGGGGAUAACCUUGCGAAAGUAAGACUAAUACCCAAUGAUAUCUCUAGAAGACAUCUGAAAGGGAUUAAAGAUUUAUCGGUGAUGGAUGGGGAUGCGUCUGAUUAGCUUGUUGGCGGGGUAACGGCCCACCAAGGCAACGAUCAGUAGGGGUUCUGAGAGGAAGGUCCCCCACAUUGGAACUGAGACACGGUCCAAACUCCUACGGGAGGCAGCAGUGAGGAAUAUUGGUCAAUGGGCGAGAGCCUGAACCAGCCAAGUAGCGUGCAGGAAGACGGCCCUAUGGGUUGUAAACUGCUUUUAUAAGGGAAUAAAGUGAGAGUCGUGACUCUUUUUGUAUGUACCUUAUGAAUAAGGACCGGCUAAUUCCGUG